CUUUCUUGUUACAACAUUUUUCACCGUUUUAUGGACCAAACAACUAAUUGAUUAAUCGAGGACAUAAUUGACAGAUUAAUCGAUGACGAAAACAAUCGUUAGUUGCAGCCCUAGUGUUGCUACGUCAUCCAUUAGGGUUAUGGAAUGGCCAUUUGAAUUCAUUGUGGUCCAUGUGUCGUGAUGGUCGACAGCUGCCUCGGUCCACACGAGGGCAGCAGCGCCGCUGCUGGCGGCCGCCCCCCUCCUCAGGUGCGUCCGGAGUUACCUGAUCCCGAUGCGGAGCGGCGGAGAGCGCGGAAAACGGCGGCGCAAUCCGCACCCCAAAGCCGCACAGACGGGGAGGAACCAGCCAGUGUGUGUUCAACCUAACGGAGCCGGGGCUGUUGCCACUUUCAGCAUAGUGGAGGAGCAGCUGGCACCGUGAACGCAAAGGGGCCGGCGUCCGUUUUGUGGAGGGGGGGAUCGCGUAAAUGCGCACCGAGUGAGAGAGGGGAGGAGAGUGGACGGGAAGAGGAGGCAGCGGCAGCAGAAGCGGGCUGGGUGGUAAAUGUCGCUUGGGUGGAUGAGGGACGAUGGUCACGGUGCGUUUGGACCGUUGGAUCCUCUCACUGAACGGCCUCCCGCCGGCGUCCUCCGCUGGUGACGAGCGGUCUCCAAACAUUUACGCGCAACUGCUCCGGCGAGCUCCGACGCGCCCCUGAGAGCGCGCCCCUAACCCUCUGAAAACAAGAAAGGUGAGGGCUGUUCACACGGAAACUUUUCCAUGUUGCAUUCCGUGCGGUUCGCCCGCGGAGCGGUUGUCGAAGCAGCCUCGCCGUCACCCCUGCCGCUGCUGGAGGGAAAGACUUUGACAGGCUGGGUCUUGCCAAGGGAGCCUCAUCCUCGCCGAAGCUACCAGGAAGCUGCGGAGCAUGUAGUUCAUCAGACGCUGAUCCUGACAGCAAGUCAUAAGAUGCCGCUCCUGGGAUUUGGAGUUCUUGUUUAAUUAAGCGAAUGCAAGGAACUCUUGCAGUCAUUACACUUGAGUAGACCUUUAAAGAUUUUGGUCCAUUUAUCAUACGAUUGUUUUUCCCCGUAGGCUCUAUCACCAGGUUGCAAAUGGAACUGUGGAGCUGCAGCUGAGGAGGACUAGUGGCCCUGAAAAUUUGCUUUUUUUCGUUUGAAAAUAUAAAAUUCCCUGCUGUAAAGGCUUUUCUCUAGGAUUAUCAGGUCACUCGUGACACUCGGCGCUCUGUCACUCUCUCUGUCUUGGUCUUUGCUCCAGGGGCCAUCUUCCCGCUACUUCUUUUUCUCUUUACAAGUCAGCCACUCUUGACAUUGAGGUUUUUGUGGUAUAGAGUACGCUUUGGGAUACCCUUUUUUUUCCUUUGAAUAUACUCCAGCCAAAACUUUCACCAAAAUAACCUGUCGACAGGAUGCACUGAAGAAGAGAGAGGGGCCAGAGAAAGAGGGAUAGAGGGGAUUGAAAGGCAGAUGGCUUCACUGCUCGAGAAAACCCCAACAGCUGUAUGAAUAAAACAU
rnacentral:lncRNA from 1 species